UACGUAGGGGGCAAGCGUUGUCCGGAAUCAUUGGGCGUAAAGCGCGUGUAGGCGGCCAGAAAAGUCCGCUGUGAAAACUCGAGGCUCAACUUCGAGCUGUCGGUGGAAACUUUCUGGCUAGAGUCCGGAAGAGGAGAGUGGAAUUCCUGGUGUAGCGGUGAAAUGCGCAGAUAUCAGGAAGAACACCUAUGGCGAAGGCAGCUCUCUGGGACGGUACUGACGCUGAGACGCGAAAGCGUGGGGAGCGAACAGG
rnacentral:rRNA from 1 species